AGAUGCUCUGCUUUCACUGGAACUAGAGUUUUCCAGAGUCCCUUCUCAUGGAUCUUUGAAAAGAAAUGUCUGGUCGUAAGCUGGCUGCUGCAUCACCAAUCAUCACCUCUGCAAUCCAAUAAGGAAGAAUGAGAAGAGGGAGGGGAUGGUGCCUGAAACAACAAAGCACAACUAUCUUCUAGAUAUCUACAUGCAAAAAAAUGAAGUUGGUCCCUUACUUCACACCAUACCCAAAAACUAACUUAAAAUCAAUCAAAGACCUAAAGGGCCCAAACCCGCUCUAGUCUCUUGGAAUACUUGCUCUUGGGAUGCUUCCUCUGAGACUUAGCUACCAUACUGAGGGAAGUCAUGGAGAGGUACUCCAGUCUACAGCUACUCCAGACUCCAGGCUACAGCUGGGUGCUCAGCGACAGUCAGCAUCAACUGCCAGCCAUGUAAGUGAGCCAUGUCGGAUGUCCAGCACAGACAAGCCGCUGGAAGACCACGGU